CUUGCGUCUGCCUCCUACCUCUUUUCAGAAAUGAACAGAACAGACAGAAGACAGGAGACAAGUCCCAUCUGGACACUACAUGAGACUGAAUCAUGUGCUGUUUUUGAAGAAUGAAGACUGAACUUUAGGCCGUUUUUGCUUGAAAGGACAUCUUACAAAUAAGAGGAAGCAAAGAGGGAAAAAAUGAUUUCUUUGGGAAAUACCCCCUGCUGAGCCUCUAAAUCUAUAUGAAUGUCGGGGCAAAGCAGGGAUCUGGGGGGUGUAUUUGGAGAUGAAUCUCAUGCUAAAGAGACAAUGCCAAACUGCAUGUGCACAAACCCACACAGUAGGUCGAAGCCUUUGGGAGAAAGACAAAGAAAAAAAGGAAUAUAACUUCUGUGGAGUCAUCUGAGGUAACCACUUCAUUCUGGUCAGAAUCUGGAGCCUAUCCUGGGAACACUACAGAAAUGUGCCCUGGAUAAGACGUCAGUCCAUUGCAGAUGGGAAUGGAAAUGUAGAUUAUUCUACAGAAAUAUUAAUCACAGUCAUCAAAUGAACACAGGAGACUCCAGGGCUAAAAGCUUACUAUAAUUAAUCAAAUGCAUGAUAUAGAUUGUCUCCAGUGUCUGCGCUUUGUGGAAUGUAUCUAGCUUUUCUAUUUUGGAUCCAGGAUUGUCCAUUGGUAUUCAUUUUGCGACUCAGAAUGUCAGAAGCAUUAAAUGAUAAAAAAUAUAUAUAUAUAUAUAUAUAUAUAUAUAUAUAUAUAUACUGAAUUUGUUCAAGAUUUGUGCUGGGCCCGAAAGAUAAAGAGCAUUAAAAGCUGAAGGACGACAUUAACUAAAUAUGAAUUAUUAGAGUCGUGUGUCAGUGAGAGGAACCUAGGUCUGUCCCCAAAGGAGGACCUGUCAACAACUAAGAGAAUGGAAGGAGAGACAGAGACAGGGGGAGAAGACUAUGACCUUCACUGUCAGACAAGGAGCUGAGUGAAAGGGAGACCCAGAUAGCAGGAGGGAGAUGGAGAGCAGGAAAGAAUGAGGGAGAGACUUCAAACCCUGUGACUCCAUGCCUUAUGACAGUUACCUACUGGGACACGUCACAGCAUCACCCUGCUCCUAAAGAGAAACUAGUUUUAAUCCAACUGUUUUACUCUACUGUUGUCUCUAGAUUUAACUUAAUCAUUACUCUCCAGAGAACAUUAUAAAAAUAACAUUCCUGCGAUGUUCUAGAAAUAUGUAAUAGAAUUACCAUGGCUUGCUUUGCGUUCUAAUAACAGUGUUAAUUUGUUUAUAAGUAAAGCUGCAUGCUGCUGCAAGGCUGGAUGUUACUGCAAAUAAAAGCAUUCUCAUAACACCCAGGAACCCGAGAACGUUAAUAAGACAUUCAGUCAAGUUCUUAUGACGUACAAGUUCUGCUUCAAGAAACAUCUGCUAUGAUAAAGGUUUGCUAUUAGAAUAUUAUCAUCUUAUCAUUCAUUCAUUCCUUUAUCUUGGGCAAGGUCAUGGUGGAUCCAGAGCCUAUUUCCAUUAGACGAAAAAUACAUCAGGCUCUCUGCUGGCAUGUUUUUUUUUUUUUGGAUGAACCUGGAGAACUCAGAGGAAACCCAGAAGUCCAACUCAGGAACCCAGGAAACCAGGAACCCUACACACACCUUCCCAGGAGAGUGGAGGCUUUUACAGCAGCAAAGGGAGGUCCAACUCAGGAGUGGGAUGUUCAACAACUAUAAAUGUCUAUGAUGGUCAGUUGUUCACAUACAAUUGACCAUAUAGUCUCUGUUUUUAUACAUAAGUGCCACCUAAGUGACAGAAGGCUACAGAUUAGUACCUUUUAUACUGAGAGCAUGGGCCAAAUAUAUCGGGCUGCAAGACAUGAGACUGCUUCACACUUUUCAAGGCCCAGCUCAUGCAGAGGAACGGAGUGCUAUUCUCACUCGACCCUGAGGCUAUGCAACUGAUAAUGUGCAAAAUCCAAGCUGACAGUCCUAUGAAUUGUGACGUGCUGCUAUUAUAUUUUUCUUUUUUUUUUCCUUUAUCUGAAACAAGGGAGAGAGAGAGAGAGAGAGAAUGGGGGAGAGAGAUUAUAUGCAGGUGCAGGACUGGCGGCCAAGCUGUUGGAAUGUGUGGUGUGUGUUCACACUGCCUUCACUUCCCAUCAAACCUCCCACUGUUUACACACACCACGGUGCUGACUCUCAUCGUUUUUCCUGCUUGAAGACAGCCUCAGUCUCACUGUGAACCCACUGCCAUCACACAGACUAUCGGUGUGAACACAGCGCAUGGCAUAGAGCUUUACACGAGCGGAAAGCACACCUCUCCAUGACAGAAUUCCACACAGACCUUUGCUCGAGUUAGCCUUCAGGGAAACCUGAAGUAUGUUUUGGUGUGAGAUUGAAGAGUGUGUGCA